UACAGAGGUGGCAAGCGUUGUUCGGAAUUACUGGGCGUAAAGGGCGCGUAGGCGGUCUUGUAAGUCUUGUGUGAAAUCCCUCGGCUUAACUGAGGAACUGCACGGGAUACUGGAGAGCUUGAGUCCGGAAGAGGUGAGUGGAACUCCGAGUGUAGAGGUGAAAUUCGUAGAUAUUCGGAAGAACACCAGUGGCGAAGGCGGCUCACUGGUCCGGUACUGACGCUGAGGUGCGAAAGCGUGGGGAGCAAACAGG
rnacentral:rRNA from 1 species